ensembl:lncRNA
CUGCCUUAACCCUCUUGGGCAUGGAGUUCACCAGAGCUUCACAGGUUGCCACUGGAGUCCUCUUCCACUCCUCCAUGACGACAUCACGGAGCUGGUGGAUUUUAGAGACCUUGUGCUCCUCCACCUUCCGUUUGAGGAUGCCCCACAGAUGCUCAAUAGGGUUUAGUCCAUCACCUUCACCCUCAGCUUCUUUAGCAAGGCAGUGGUCAUCUUGGAGGUGUGUUUGGGGUCGUUAUCAUGCUGGAAUACUGCGCUGCGGCCCAGUCUCCGAAGGGAGGGGAUCAUGCUCUGCUUCACAGUAUCACAUGUCACAGUACAUGCUGUCAUUCAUGGUUCCCUCAAUGAACUGUAGCUCCCCAGUGCCGGCAGCACUCAUGCAGCCAGAGACCAUGACACUCCCACCACCAUGCUUGACUAUAGGCAAGACACACUUGUCUUUGUACUCCUCACCUGGUUGUCGAACACACACACAACACCAUCUGAACCAAAUAAGUUUAUCUUGGUCUCAUCAGACCACAGGACAUGUUCCAGUAAUCCAUGUCCUUAGUCUGCUCGUCUUCAGCAAGCUGUUUGCGGGCUUUCUUGUGCAUCAUCUUUAGAAGAGGCUUCCUUCUGGGACAACAGCCAUGCAGACCAAUUUGAUGCCGUGUGCAGCGUAUGGUCAGACGUAUGAGCACUGACAGACAGACCCCCCCACCCCUUCAACCUCUGCAGCAAUGCUGGCAGCACUCAUACGUCUAUUUCCCAAAGACAACCUCUGGAUAUGACGCUGAGUACGAGCACUCAACUUCUUUGGUCGACCAUGGCGAGGCCUGUUCUGAGUGGAACCCAACCUGUUAAACUGCUGUAUGGUCUUGGCCACCGUGCUGCAGCUCAGUGUCAGGGUCUUGGCAAUCUUCUUAUAGCCUACGCCAUCUUUAUGUAGAGCAACAAUUAUUUUUUUCAGAUCCUCAGAGAGUUCUUUGCCAUGAGGUGCCAUGUUGAACUUCCAGUGACCAGUAUGAGGGAGUGUGAGAGCGAUGACACCAAAUUUAACACACCUGCUCCCCAUUCACACCUGAGACCUUGUAACAUUAACAAAUCACGUGACACCGGGGAGGGAAAAUUGGGCCCAAUUUGGACAUUAUCACUUAGGGGUGUACUCACUUUUGUUGCCAGCGGUUUAGAUAUUAAUGGAUGUGUGUUGAGUUAUUUUGAGGGGACAGCAAAUUUACACUGUUACACAAGCUUUACACUCACUACUUUACAUUGUAGCAAAGUGUCAUUUCUUCAGUGUUGUCACAUGAAAAGUUAUAAUCAAAUAUUUACAAAAAUGUGAGGGGUGUACUCACUUUUGUGAGAUAUUGUACAUAUUGAAUACACUUCAUUAACAUAUCCGAAUGUUAGUUACACAUAUUGAUUAUGCUUCAUAAAUAUUUUCUAUAUAAUGCAUAAACAGACCAAAUAUUUAGGACAACUGCAAACAAUUUUUUACACUGCCAAGAUUCUGUGUGGAGGUAGAUGGACCGUCCUCUGUACAGGAAUCCCUAGCCAUAAUCUUUAAGGGGACAAUGACAAAGUUAUAAUAAUCACACAUCUUUUUAAAAAAAAAAAAAAAAAAAAAAAAAGGAAUUCAUUAUAUGUUAUGCCAAUGUGGGCAUCCCAGCAUCUUCAUUCUGUACCUCUGUCACAGCAGAGGUGGUCUCUUCAUCUUCAUCCUACAGUGCAAGUUAUUAAUGAUGUUUGGUCUAGCAAACAGAAAAGUAUACCUGAAGACAAUAAUCACUUACAACUGUGGCAGGAUGUGCUGUUGCAGGAGGGUCAAUUAAUGCAAUAUGUCAAUCAGCAACUGUAAGAAAAAAAAGAAACUGUUACAUGUCCUUGAGAGAAAAUAUUUCUGCCAGAUCAUUGCAUAACGAUUUCUGUAUUGAAGGGAUAUGCUAUGUGAUUGUAGUUCUUCACAGCAAAGAAGGUGGAAAGAGAAAGAAGGAGAGAGAACAAGGGAGAGAGAGAAAGAAGGAGAGAGAGGGAGGGAAAGACAGGGAGAGGGUAGAUAGGCGCCUGCAAAAUAUGGGUUCUCCAUUUUCUUCUACAAAAGACAAGAAAGAAAGACAAAAAGUUAUUAUGCAAAGAUAUUAUGCAAAAGUCCUCUGAUCUCUUCAUUGACUACCAGUACAGUACCUAAGAUCAAUUUGAAAAUAUUCUUGCUUGUCUACAUAAUACUAAAUGGUUCAGUUGGAAAAACUACAUCCAGUGUUUUAGCUAAAAUUGCAUUUAAUUCAUGCAAACAAACUUGCCUGACCUUUUCUAAGAAGCCUUCUCUUUAUAUAAGUCACAGGACUGAGUUUUUAGAAUAGAAUUAGCAAAUACAUUAAAUAUAGGUGGCUUAGUGGUUAGCAUGUCUGCCUCACACCUCCGGGGUUCGAGUCCCGCCAGGGCCAUGUGUGUGUGCGGAGUUUGCAUGUUUCCUCCAGGUACUCCAGUUUCUUCCCCCAGUCCAAAGACAUUCAUGGUAGGCUGAUUGGUGUGUCCGUAGUGUAUGAAUGGGUGUGUGAUUGUGCCCUGUGAUGGACUGGCACCCUGUCCAGGGUGUAUCCCGCCUUGUGCCCGAUGCUCCCUGGGAUAAGCUCCAGGUUCCCUGUGACCCUGAAAAGGAGUAAGCGAUAGAAGAUGGAUGGAUGGAAAUAUUUUAGGUAAUAGGACUAUAUGUUGAGAUUAUGACUUUCUCAGUCAUAGUUACAAACUAACUAUGAAUCUUCUGAAAGCCAUGGUAACACCAAAAGUUCUCAAAUUUUUUUCUGUAUAUUUGAUGAUCAAAUAUACAGAAAAAAAAAUGAGAGAACUUAUUUUUGGUGUUACCAUGGCCUUCAUAAGAACCAGAUGAUACAACUUCCUGGUGAACAUGUGACUUGUGAAAUGUUCAAAAAUUUUCAUUAAAUCAAAUUAAAUACUAACAGCAGUACAUUAACAAGUUAAAUAGCCUACAAAAGGCAACAAUGAAAACCUAUUGCACUUGAAAAGUUUGUGGUAUUAAUGUAGUGCAAAUACAACAGGUAAAACAAGUAAAAUGGCAGUGUAACCUUCAAGUACUGACAACUGAGAUAAAAAAAAAAGAUAAAUCUUCAAGUUAAAUAGUAAACUUGAUCCAUUAAUAAAGUGAAGUUGUGCCUCGAGAGAUUUAUAAUCUCUGACCUGCACGUCUGGAAACACGUCUAUUAAUGUUACUUGUGGUAGCUCAUUAAGAUCACCAGACCACGCUUUAUGUUUGUACGGAUCAAGCAUGUUAAUUUCUCAAAAUAGCGCUACUUUGCUUCCUUGCUCAGCUUCUCUCAGUAAGGAAUCUUGCACAUCUUACACAGCUGUUGCUGCAGAUCUCGAAGCCCCUUUAGACAUAAAAGAAAUUAAUCUGGCAAUUAAAAUAAUGCACUGCAAUAAAUCCCCAGGGCCCAAUGGCUUUCCAAUCAAGUUUUUAAAGAAAUUUCAGAGCAAACAGGAGUGUCCACUUUCCCUUUUGCUGUUCGCACUGGCCAUUGAACCAUUGUCGAUCGCUCCGAGUGUCACGGUUUCCCCUUUAAGCAGCGCGCUGUGGAGCAUGUGGGCGCGCGUGUAUGAGCAAGGUGCGUAAGCACCUGCUUUUACUUUGUUGACAACCGUGACAUUUGGACACGUGCUUUUGUUAUGUUUCUGUUAUGUCUCCUCCUUGUUCUGUCAUUGGCUGUUAUUUCACGUGUGUCUGCUGUCAGCAAUUAAGACGCUGAUUAUGUUUGUAUAUAUACCUCGCGCCUCCCAGCACAUGGCGUGGAAUAUUAGAAUAGUAUAGAUAUUCACGUGAGAUAUAGAGAAGAAACUUAGAAUAGGUUAGUUUAGAUUCCUUACCAUAGUCAUAGUCCAUGUUUAGAUUCGUCUGUUUAAGUCACGCUGGUUUUUUCGCUCCCAGUUAGUAGACAUAGCUUAUGUUUCUUGUUUUGUAUAUCGACCCUGUUUUCCGUGACCUUGAUUCCUGCCUUGCCCAGUUUAUGCCUGUUUGCCGAUCACCUGACCUUUUGCAUGUUUUGGAUUACGUUUUGGAUUACGAUUUUGGAUUUAUCUACCUGUGUCUCUCUUUAAUAAAACUGUCUACUGCACUUGCAUCCAUCCUAUCUUCGUUACGUCUCGAGGCGUGACAGAAUAUUCCGCCUCUACAUGGAUGCAGCAGGAAGACGGGAGACAUCACGCUACCAUGGAAGUAGCAGGACAGUACCUCAUCGGGAAACGCUCGGAUUACUGGCCACAUUUCUUGUCCAUGCAGUUCCCUCAAAGGUACGCCGUCGAACUUCCGUCGGAGACAGCGGGAUUGAGGAGCUACCCGCUGGAGUUCCUCUUCAGCUGCCAGGAAUAUUUCUGCAGUCUGGCGUAUCCCAAGCCUAUUAAGAGACAGUGGAUUGGGUUCUUAGUGUCCAGGUUUUGCGGUCCGGCCCGUGACUGGGCGGAGCAGCUGGUGAGCACUGGGUCCUCUGCCCUCCAUUAUGUCACUCAGUUUGCGUUACUUUUUAUGGAUGAGUUCACACAGCUCGGGCAACUACGCGGUCUGGAUUUACUGGGGUGGAGUCAAUGGACAGCCCCAGGUUUACCUGCCAUUCAACCUCUAUUAUGAGGGGAUUGACAGGGCAGCCUCCACAGAUCCGUUUCAGGUUCCUCCGAGAUGCAUGAAUGAGGGCUGCGGGAAAGAGACUCGGCUCCAAUUUCCCACAUGCAAGAAGUUGGGUUUCCAGGAAGCAUUUUUCUGCUCUAAGGAAUGCUUCAAGAGCAGCUGGCGUCAGCACAAGCAUCGACACAGAAAAGACCCUGCGGAACUACAGCCAGAGGUCAAUGUGGCAACCUCUGUACAAGCGCUCGAACCUGAGACCCAUGAGCUGGUCUCACCCGCCGAGCUCCAGCCAGAGGCACAUGUGGUGACCUCUGAACUCCAACCUGAGACCCACGAGGAGGUCUCAGCACGAGAGCUCCAGCCAGAGGUCAACAUGGCGACCUCAGAACCCGAGCUCCAGCUUGAGACCCACCAAGAGGUCUCAGCACCUGAGCUCCAGCCAGAGUUAUGUCACGGUUUCCUCUUUAAGCAGUGCGCUGUGGACGAUGUGGGCACGCGUGUACGAGCAAGGUGUGUGAGCACCUGGUUUUCCUUUGUUGACAACCGUGACAUUUGGACACGUGCUUUUGUUAUGUCUCCUCCCUGUUCCGUCACUGGCUGUUAUUUCACGUGUGUCUGAAGUGCUGUCAGCCGACAGCAGUUAAGACGCUGAUUAUGUUUGUAUAUAUACCGCGCGCCUCCCAGCACACGGCGCGGAAUAUUACAAUAGUAUAGAUACUCACGUUGGAUAUAGAUAAGAAACUUAGUAUAGAUUAGUUUAGAUUCCUUACCAUAGUCAUUGUCAUUGUCCAUGUCAUGUUUCAUGUUUAGGUUCGUCUGUUUAAGUCACGCUGGUUUUUCCGUUCCCAGUUAGUAGUCAUAGCUGAUGUUUCUUGUUUUGUAUAUCGACCCUGUUUACCGUGACCGCGACCUUGAUUCCUGCCUUGCCCAGUUUAUGCCUGUUUGCCGAUCGCCUGACCUUUUGAAUGUUUUGGAUUACGUUUUUGGAUUUAUCUACCUGUGUCUCCCUUUAAUAAAACUGUCUACUACACUUGCAUCCGUCCUAUCUUCGAUACGUCUCGAGACAUGACACUGAGGUCCUCCCCUUAGCUUCAGGGUGUGGUGCAGUCAGGUAUUGAAAUUAAACUGUCACUCUAUGCCGAUGAUUUAUUAUUAUAUUUCUAACCCGAUUUCGAGUUUGCCAGUUAUUUUGUCCAUGUUGGAAAAAUUUGCCUUCUCUAGUUAUAAAAUAAAUCGUCAUAAAAGUGAGUGUUUCCCUGUUAAUGCUUUGGCUAUGAGGCUUUUGUAGUUGGAUGUUCCAAUUAAAUUAAGUAAAACAGGUUUCAGAUACCUUGGCAUCAAUAUUACUAGAUCUCUACACUCUCUUUUAUCUGUAAAUUUCUCCCUUUUGUUGGAAGAGAUUAAGUCUGAUUUUCAUAAAUGGAGCCGUCUACCUCUAUCAUUGAUUGGCCGAAUUAAUCGUAGUGAAAAUGAAUGUUUUGCCCAAAUUUCUUUUUGCCUUUCAGUGCAUUCCUUUCUUUCUCCCUAAGCAUUUAUUCAUAUCUAUUGACCAGAUUGUUGCCCAGUUUUUGUGGGGUGGUAAAGUACCCAGAAUUUGGAAAUUGUUGCUUCAUAGAUGUCAUUUGAGUGGUGGGCUCUCUUUACCCAAUUUUAUGCUUUACUAUUGGUCAAUAGAUAUUCACAAGUUAGAUAGAUAGACAGACAAUUUUUGUCCUCAAAGAUGAAAUUUGUUUCCACCGUGGGUGCAUAGAAAAACAUAAACACAACACCAUACAUGUAAACCAUCAUGAACAAUCACAGGCAUAGAGUUAACAUUUUGGUUUAGUUUGUCCACUGCAUUAUGGUGCAGAUUAGAGGCAAACUCAUGUUUAUCCACCUCUCUGUUGGUUUUGCUCACUUCACCUUUAUCCUGUAAUCCCUCUUCCUCUUCCUUUGCACAUAAACAGUAGUUUGAUCUACCCUUCAGAUCUGGUGACAGUUCAGGCGACACUUUAAAUUUACAUCUGCUUCAACAUUAAUGCCAUUACUAGAGAAUUAUAUUUCCCCCAUCUCUUACUGAUCCUGUUUUUAAGCAGUAGCAUGCAAAAGGCUUAAGAUGUUUCAAGACUUGUAUAAAGAUAGCACCUUUUGUAGCUAUAUACAGCUAUCUUCUGAAUUGCGGUUAUCAGAAUACCGCUUGUUUUGGUUUUUGAAGAUUAGACAUUGCUCUACUACUCUGUUCCCUAAUUACUCAUCUCUACCCCCAGUACAAGUAUGGGGAGAGUUUCUGCAAUUUAAUCCUCACCACAAUUCAAAACCUUCCAAAAUUUAUAGUCGUCUUUAAGGUUUAGAUGAUUAUUCUCUUAAUAAAAUUAAUAGAGUGGGAGCUGGGAGAGUUUUGAAAAGGAAUGGAGGGUGGGUGCACUGGACAGAAUACGCUCUAGUACAAUAUGUGCUCAUCUUAGCCUCAUACAAUUUUAAAUACUACAUAGAAUUAAUUUCUCCAAGGCCCAGCUAUCUGAAAUAUUUUCUAAUAUUGAAGACCGAUGUGAUAGGUGUUGGGCGUCUCAAUGUAAAUUGAAUCAUAUAUUUUUACUUGUCUUAUGUUGCAAUAUUACUGGCCUAAUUAUUUACCCUGCUAUAGCAAUUUCUGGGGUACCAAUGGUCUAGUCUCGGUUUAAUUCUAAAUAACUGGAUAUUUUAGCUUUUACCUCCUUAUUAGCGAAGCAUUGUAUUCUACUCCACUGGAAAGUUAAUAAGCUCCCAACAACAUCUCAAUGGUUUGUAGAUACAAUGCUUUUUCUUAAACUGGAAAAGGCUAGAUGCUCUGGGAAAAGUAAAUGGCCUACUUUAAGUUCUCUUAACACCCUGCCUCCUGUUUAAUUUUUUCUCCCCUCUCCCUCUCUUUAUUAUUUCUUUUAUUUUAUUAAUGAUCAUGUAUUAUUUUUUGGAUAUAUGAUAGUGGUGGGGUGGGUAGUGUUUGUAUACUCAGAUGUUUGUAUGUAUGGUCAUUUACCCCAUCUCUACUUGUAUUAUCAUUAGUUCUGUUAUUGUUAAGUUUUGGGUUUCAAAACAAAAAAGUAUAAUAGUGUGUAAUAACCCAUUUAUUUUUGUAAUAAAAAAAAGAUUGAACAUAAAAAUGUUUCUUUGUUCUUUAGGAAGUGAUCAACUUCAUUAGCUUUCACUCGUCUUAGCACUGUUAGCCAUUAUUUGGGUUUUGCAUUUUAAAAUAUUAAAUUAAGCCACAAUUCUCAGUAAAAACAUUAACUAAAUUUUAAAGUAGUUUAGUACCAUUAACUGUUAUGUAGAUUACAGUAGAAACACAGUACAAAUACAGUUUAUUACUGUAAUUCUAGCUAAAGUAUUGUAGAGUACUGUAAGAGACAGUAAUACAGUUUAUAUAAAUUACUGUAAGGACACUGUAAAAAAAAAAAAAAAAAAAGGACAGUGCUGGCAAAUGUAACUGCCAGUAGUUUACUGUAAUUUUACAGGGAAAUUUCUUAGAGUGUACAGCUUGGACUGCAGGAUCAGUUAUAGCAAAGAAGAAGAACUAGAUAAAAGAACUAAAGCUGCAAGCAGCAUUUUUGGGGGCCAAGCACCCAGACUCUGCACAUUCAUAGAUGUACUACAAUUGUUGCCUAAGCAGUCACAGGAGUCAUAACUUUAGACAAAGGGAUUCAAGAGUUAUUUGUAGUUUCACUUAUGAUGUGUUGAUUAUUGGACAAAAU